CCCAUGACCUCUUGGUGGUUGCGUCCCACCAUAUAUAUAUAUAUAUAUGUAUGCCUUUUCAUCCUCUACAGCAGCUCAAAAGCCGAAUUCCGUGACAGAGGUCGACCAAUUCGCUAAUGGGGAAUCGCAGAUCAAGGAAUCAGAAUACCCAUCCGAUUUCACCACUCUGCUGGGGGAGGAGCUCUGCAAAGGAUCGGGAAGUUGAGACGAAGAAGAGUGCUUGAUUAGAAGAAUAAUAUCAGAGGCUCACUUGGACAAUAUUUACACUCAACGCCAUAAGCCUUGAGAGUUGAGUUUGAGCCUUAAAAUUAGCAUUUUAAUUAGAUUCAAAUUUUAUGGCAUGCCUUCCAAUAUUAGUGAAGUUAAUCUAAUAUAUGUUGUGCAUUAUAUUAUAUAUAUGUAUGUAUAUGCGUAGUAUGUAUGUUAGUAGGUGUCUAAUUUCUCUAGCUAGAUUCCUCAGAUAUAUGUUCUGUGAUACCCCAGGAAUUUGAGAUAGACGUUAAUCUAAUAUAGUCACAUUUGGUACGAUAAUAUAAAAAUGUAUAUAUAUGUAUAUAUGUAUAUAUGAAAGAGAGAUUACUAAGUUUGCUUGGAGAAUCUCAAAAUAUAUGGCACAAACAAGCCGAUAAUAAUAUUUCCGGGAUAUUGUUGUAAGCACAAGAAAUACUUGUGGUUUGUCUCCUCCAAGAAAGCCUUUGUGUACAAUAUAUAUAUGAUUUCACAUUGUGUGUGAUAAGACUCAAUAAGGAAGUUCAUUUAUUUAUUAAUUUUGGAUGAAUAAAAUUUAGUGAUUUAUUUA